AUGGCUACUAUUGGGUUCUACUGGACAGCACUAGUUUCUGAGCAGGACAAUCUCCUCCAAAUGAGCAACAGAUGGUGUCUUGAUCUGUGGCCUCUGAGGAAGAAGAGCUCUUUUAUUUGGUGUUCAGCAGCUGGAAGAAUCUGGAGGGAAGUGGUCCCAGAAUCGAGGAGACCAAGCUGCUUGAAGGUGGUAUGUUCUAUACAGACCCUCUUUGUGUUCAUAUUCUUCAGGCUUGAAGUCAUUUCUCUACCCUUGAAAAAUACUACAGCAUAUGUAUUAUUGUGAAAUACACAUGGCACUGUUUGAAAAAUAUAGUUUUCUUUUCUUUUUAAAACAGAAGCCCAUUUUGUAAAAACAGAAGCCUCCCCUCUGCCCUUAAAAGGAAGAACCAAAGUAUUGAAAUGCAAGAGUUAUUGCUUCUCUGUGAAGCUAAAUGAUUUUAAUUAUUAGCUUUUGAAAGAAAAGAUGCUGAUUGAAAGUUAAGUAUGAUUGGACAUCUAAAAAGUGUCAGUAAAAGGCCAAAAGGAAGAUAUGAGAUUUCAUUUGUAAUUAAAAUAGCAGAAACAGUUGUGAGAAGACAUGUGGAAUAGGACAGAACUCAAAAAUGUCCACAGUAGUUUAAUUUGAAUAUGACAGUUUUCUCUGAUACACAGAAUAAGUGUAUCCCUGAAGAAUUGUCUGUAAGAGGAAAUUUUGCACAUUGAACCAUUUUCCUAAUUGAUUUUUCUAACAGAAAGACAAAAUAGGCCAAAGUAUCCAGAAGUGGAUGGAAAGAACAGUGGAAGGCUGAAAACCCAGAUUUUAGUCCUGGUUCUAUCAGUAAUUUGGUCUGUGAGGUUGAGCCAGUCACUUGAUUGGUCUAGACCUCUGUUUCCUCUUUAAACAAUAAGAUUGGAAUACAUGAUCCUAGGUUUAAUUCCAUGUGUUUUAAUGGCAUUGUGCAGUGGAAGGGUUCCUAGCCUUGGAAUUAGACCCCUUGAGUUUGAAGCUGACCUUGAAUAAGUUAUCUAAUCUCUCUUGGCUUCAGUAAAAUGUGCCUCCAUAUGACUUGAUCUUGGUUUUCUUCUUUCCCAUCCCUCUUUUAACCCUGUAGCUACUAUUUAUUUUACUGUUGAUUCUAGCUUUCACAGAGAGCUCAGAGAUGCAGGAUCAGUGACAUUUGAGUUAGGUAGAGGUCCUCCUUCCAGGUGGGUUCUCCGGUAGAUUUCCAUUUUUAAGGAGGAUGUGAAUUCUUUUUCUGUGUCUGUUCCUCCCCUCUCCCCUCACCUGGUACCAUCAGCCAACA
rnacentral:lncRNA from 1 species